rnacentral:rRNA from 1 species
AUGAAUGCUGGCGGCGUGCCUAAUCCAUGCAAGUCGCGCGAACAGACGAGGAGCUUGCUCCUCUGACGUUAGCGGCGGACGGGUGAGUAACACGUGGAUAACCUACCUAUAAGACUGGGAUAACUUCGGGAAACCGGAGCUAAUACCGGAUAAUAUAUUGAACCGCAUGGUUCAAUAGUGAAAGACGGUUUUGCUGUCACUUAUAGAUGGAUCCGCGCCGCAUUAGCUAGUUGGUAAGGUAACGGCUUACCAAGGCAACGAUGCGUAGCCGACCUGAGAGGGUGAUCGGCCACACUGGAACUGAGACACGGUCCAGACUCCUACGGGAGGCAGCAGUAGGGAAUCUUCCGCAAUGGGCGAAAGCUUGACGGAGCAACGCCGCGUGAGUGAUGAAGGUCUUCGGAUCGUAAAACUCUGUUAUUAGGGAAGAACAAAUGUGUAAGUAACUAUGCACGUCUUGACGGUACCUAAUCAGAAAGCCACGGCUAACUACGUG